GUGGGCUCCACCCAGUUUGAGCUUCCCAGGUGCUUUGUUUACCUAAGCAAGCCUGGGCAAUGGUGGGCGCCCCUCCCCCAGCCUUGCUGCCGCUUGCAGUUUGAUCUCAGACUGCUGUGCUAGCAAUCAGCGAGACUCCGUGGGGUAGGACCCUCCGAGCCAGGUGGGAGAUAUAAUCUCUUGGUGCGCUGUUUUUUAAGCCCGUCGGAAAAGCGCAGUAUUAGGGUGGGAGUGACCCGAUUUUCCAGGUGCGGUCUGUUACCCUUUUCUUUGACUAGGAAAGGGAACUCCCUGACCCCUUGCGCUUCCCACUGACCUGCGCCCACUGUCUGGCACUCCCUAGUGAGAUGAACCCGGUACCUCAGAUGGAAAUGCAGAAAUCACCCGUCUUCUGUGUCGCUCACCCUGGGAGCUGUAGACCGGAGCUGUUCCUAUGCAGCCAUCUUGGCUGCCACCUCUGAAAUGUCUGCAUUCCUGUAUCUGCUCUGUGCCCUUUGCUCUGCUUGGCCUGGCUGAAGGAAGCACCUCUACUCCACCACCAUCUGGGCCUUUCCUAAACCUUGUCACCUGAGAGCCAUUCUCAACCUGCAGAACUUCCAGGACAACACUUUAACUUGAUUACUUCCCCAACCUAUGCCCUCCAGCCACCAGAAAGAAGCCUUCAGGAGUCCCUACAGCACCCACGCAGGCCCUCUCCAGUUUUCCCCCUCCCUUCCUGAUGCUGUGAAAACCACAGAAUAAAUGUUUAUCACUUUCAAAAAUAUUAUAUAUAUAUAUAAUAUAAAUGAAUUUUUCUUUUUACUGCACAUAAUAUAGUACCCUGUUCACCUCUCAGAUAAAUAAAUCAUAAUUAUCAUUUUCUGCUUUUAAAUACCCUGAAAAUAUAAAAAGUUACAUAAAAUCAAUUUUUUGAAACAUAAGUGCCUUAUAAUUAAUCAAACUGUAUUCCUGUCUAUUAUAUUAAGGUUUUUUUUUUCUUUUUCUGUGUGGUAUAAAUGCAACUAUGAGAAAUUCUUACAACUCUUUCUAGUCAUAGAAGGAUAUUACUAUUUUGAAAGCUUUAGUGCAUAUCAACAAUAUGACAUUGAGAAAUGUUGGAUUAAGUUGUCUCACCACCAGCAUUGCUUGGAAGUGCCUAUCUCUCUAAACACUGUCACUAACAUGGGGAAUUAUCAUUAAAGAAAAGAAAGUCUCAUCAACUUCUAGUCUUGAAAAUAUGUCAUAAUUAUAUAGGUAAAUCCUUGAGUGCUACAGUUUAGUCAUUUUUUACAUGUUUGUUGGUUCCUAUACAUAGUACCA
rnacentral:lncRNA from 1 species